CCAUUGGACCGAGAAACUAGACAGGGUCUUACUUUGUUCCCCAGGCUGGAAUGCAGUGGCACAAUCACAGCUCACUGCAGCCUCCACCUCCCAGGCUCAAGAGAUCCCCCGCCUCAGCAUCCAAAGUCUCUGGAACCACAGGCGGAGUUUUGCUCUUGUUACUCUACCCAGGCUGGAGUGCAAUGGCGCGAUCUCGGCUCACAGCAACCUCCACCUCCUGGGUUCAGGCAAUUCUCCUGCCUCAGCCUCCUGAGUGGCUGGGAUUACAGGUACGCACCACCAUGCCCAGCUAAUUUUUUGUAUUUUUAGUAGAGACGGGGUUUCACCAUGUUGACCAGGAUGGUCUCGAUCUCUUGACCUCGUGAUCCACCUGCCUUGGCCUCCCAAAGUGCUGGGAUUACAGGUGUGAGCCACUGCGCCCAAUCCCCGUUGUGGAUUUUACAAUUAUUUCUGUUCUAUAAUUUUUAGGGAUUUGGUAGUGGUUGGAUGGAUAGAGACCUGGCAUUUUCUCAAUCUGCCACUUGAAAUAGCACAACUUUUUAGGAAAGCAAUUUUGUACCCUUAUUAUUACAUUCUAGAGAAACUCAGGCAAAAAUGUUAUGUUUCAACAAUGUUGAAAGCAGCAUUGUUUGUAAUAAGUAAAAAUUAGAAAAAUCUCAGCAUCCACCCACAGUAGAUGAAUCAGUACAUUGCAGUAUAA
rnacentral:lncRNA from 13 species